GAGUUUGAUCUUGGCUCAGAUUGAACGCUGGCGGCAUGCCUUACACAUGCAAGUCGAACAGUAACAGGUCUUCGGAUGCUGACGAGUGGCGAACGGGUGAGUAAUACAUCGGAACGUGCCCGAUCGUGGGGGAUAACGGAGCGAAAGCUUUGCUGAUACCGCAUACGAUCUACGGAUGAAAGCAGGGGACCGCAAGGCCUUGCGCGGACGGAGCGGCCGAUGGCAGAUUAGGUAGUUGGUGGGAUAAAAGCUUACCAAGCCGACGAUCUGUAGCUGGUCUGAGAGGACGACCAGCCACACUGGGACUGAGACACGGCCCAGACUCCUACGGGAGGCAGCAGUGGGAAUUUUGGACAAUGGGCGAAAGCCUGAUCCAGCCAUGCCGCGUGCAGGAUGAAGGCCUUC
rnacentral:rRNA from 1 species